UACGUAGGGUGCGAGCGUUGUCCGGAAUUAUUGGGCGUAAAGAGCUUGUAGGCGGUUUGUCGCGUCUGCUGUGAAAAUCCGGGGCUCAACCCCGGACUUGCAGUGGGUACGGGCAGACUGGAGUGUGGUAGGGGAGACUGGAAUUCCUGGUGUAGCGGUGGAAUGCGCAGAUAUCAGGAGGAACACCGAUGGCGAAGGCAGAUCUCUGGGCCGUAACUGACGCUGGAGGAGCGAAAGCAUGGGGAGCGAACAGG
rnacentral:rRNA from 1 species